rnacentral:tRNA from 3 species
GGCGAAGUAGCUCAGAGGUAGAGCAUCAAAAACAUCCUUAUUCACCCCUUGCCUCUUAGGCCGAAGAAUGAGGGUUAUCGAUUUACUCAUCGGAAGGACGCAGGUUCGACCCCUGCCUUCGCCA